AAAAUUCCUGACAGCAUUAAUAUAAGGAGAUGAUGUGCCACUACAGGAAAAAUGUGGCCAAUGAAAUUUUGCUGGCAUCAGUGUGAAGAGAGGAGUACUGCUCUGUGUGUGGAGAAAAAGAAAGAGCCCAAACAGAGGAGCAAUGCAUCUGGAUUCAAUGUGAAUUAUGCCAGAGGUAGUUUCAUGUUCAGUGCCUCAACAUUAAUCUGCUACCAGAAGAACAAGCAUGGAUUUGUGAUGUGUGUUUGUAAGCUAUUUAGUUAGAGGAGCUGAUGCUGAAAGUGUGUUUCAAUUGUAAGAAAAUUGUUUUGCACUGAUAAGGGACAACGCAAACUAUGAAAACAUAUUUUAUUACAUAAACAGUUUAUACAUAGAAAAUAAUUAAAUUUUCGAUUCAUCAAAAUAUCCACCAUUAGCAGCUGAAAACCUGGGCCAAGUUUAAACCAGUAACCAGGCAUCACAGCUGGCAAAGGGGCAUGUCUGACUUUGACAUGUAUAUAUUGCCAUUAUUAUGUAAUCAAAAUGAAAAUUAUUAUUGCUGGUCUUCAAUGAUAAUGUCAAGUUACUUUAAUGUACAGUAUUUGCACCAAAAAAAAUGAUAAGGAUUUAUGCUGAUGUCAUCCAAAACCACA